CGGAUACCUAAAGGACCCCUCGGCCUGGAGAGUGUGGAACAGCAUCUAUGAGGAAAACUGCUUCAAGCCAAGAUCGGUGUAUCGUCCUCUCAACCCGCUGGCUCCCAGUCGUGGUGAUGAUGAUGGUAGGAG